AGUGAACGCUGGCGGUAGGCCUAACACAUGCAAGUCGAACGGCAGCACAGUAAGAGCUUGCUCUUACGGGUGGCGAGUGGCGGACGGGUGAGGAAUACAUCGGAAUCUACUUUUUCGUGGGGGAUAACGUAGGGAAACUUACGCUAAUACCCAUACGACCUACGGGUGAAAGCCGGGGAUCUUCGGACCUUGCGCGAUUGAAUGAGCCGAUGUCGGAUUAGCUAGUUGGCGGGGUAAAGGCCCACCAAGGCGACGAUCCGUAGCUGGUCUGAGAGGAUGAUCAGCCACACUGGAACUGAGACACGGUCCAGACUCCUACGGGAGGCAGCAGUGGGGAAUAUUGGACAAUGGGCGCAAGCCUGAUCCAGCCAUACCGCGUGGGUGAAGAAGGCCUUCGGGUUGUAAAGCCCUUUUGUUGGGAAAGAAAAGCAGCAGGUUAAUACCCCGCUGUUCUGACGGUACCCAAAGAAUAAGCACCGGCUAACUUCGUG
rnacentral:rRNA from 1 species